AUGCUUGUCACGGCAGUGAAAAGCGCUGCCAUGGCAGCAAAUUCGCCCGCACCCAAAAGCCCUGCUAUGACAGCAGAAAACGCUGCCAUGGCAGCGGAUUCACCACGCACAGCCUCUACAGCAGAAAAAACCCUGCCACGCUGCCAUGGCAGUGUGGUCUCCAACAUCCACGACUCUCGACGAUGUACACUUGAUGAGCUCUGGCAAGAGGCGAUGAGCGACAAGCUCGCAUCGAUCGAGGGGAACGACACAUGGUCUCUCACUGAUUUGCCUGCAUGUCAAAAACCGAUCGGUCUCAAAUGGGUGUUCAAGCUCAAACGUGACGCCGGCAGCAAUUUGGUGAAGCACAAGGUAUGUCUAGUCACAAAGGGGUACGUCAAGCGGCCGGGUAUCGACUUUGACGGCCCGUUUGGACUCCGUUCAACUCCUGCUCACUGUCGCCGCUCAGUUCUGGUGGCAAGUUCACCACAUGGACGUGAAGACGGCAUUCCACAUGGACAUAUUUCUUGUUUAAUGCAUGGGGUUAUGUUUCUAAUGGAAACUAUUUAA
rnacentral:rRNA from 1 species